rnacentral:rRNA from 1 species
UGAGCAAUCUGCCCUUCUCAUCGGAAUAAGCGUUGGAAACGACGUCUAAUGCCGAAUACGACCUCCUUUCGCAUGAUCGGAGGUGGAAAGCUCCGGCGGAGAAGGAUGAGCUCGCGGCCUAUCAGCUAGUUGGUGUGGGUAAUGGCUCACCAAGGCGACGACUGGUAGCCGGCCUGAGAGGGUGACCGGCCACACUGGGACUGAGACACGGCCCAGACCUCUACGGGAGG